rnacentral:snoRNA from 1 species
AAUCUAUGUUGUGGGCAUUGAUAGAGUAGACUCUUGUAUCGCUCACAAGCCUCUAAAUAACAUUUAGAAUCCAACUGUUGAAAUGUGGUAAUCUCGUUCAUAAAAUU